UUGGAAGUAUGGGCACUAUCAUAGUGUUAUGGAUAAGACUUACAUAGUAUGUGACUUAUGUGGGUUCCGUUGGCAUUGCGUGGCACAAGCAAUAUCUUGCACAUUUAUUGUGGUCAAAUGCAAAAACAUGCGACAAAAUUACUCUAGAAAUCCAAAGGGAGAUCUUGGAGUAUAUGGAUAAACAAUCAAUAAAGAGAUGCGAUAGUGCCCUACGUCACGAGGAAUGUAUGGAACAAAACGCAUAUGAAGAUAUAAAUGUAGUUGAUGUAGAUGAAGCUGGUCCCACCCCCCUACUUCGACAGGUUGGUCUAGACCAUAACCAACAACCUCGAAAAGAGCCUGAGGGCAUGGGCCCAUGGAUAGAUGGUGUAGACCACACCCCGAGAAUGUGGUAGACCAAAGGGGUUGGGGCAAAGGGCUGACUCAAACAACUUUAAAAAACCGGUAUAAAUAAAAAGAUAGGAAAAUCACUAUUUAAUACAUUGCUAAGUGGUUUUACCAAACCAACAUUGCUUUCAAUGCAGUUAAAUCGAGAAGCUUCAAAGUUAUGGUUGAGGGUAUAUGUUAAUUUGGACCUGGGCUUAAACCUCCUCCAUAUCAUGAAAUGAGGGAGACAUGCCUCAAAACUUAAGUUGAUUAUACACAAUCCUUUAUAGCUGAAUAUAAGGAAUCGUGGAAAACGUAUGGUUGUUCCCUUAUGGCCGAUGGAUGGACUUAUAGAUCCGGUCGGACUCUCAUUAACUUUCUAGUAAAUUGUCCAGCUGGGACAAUAUUUUUGAAGUCUGUGGAUGCCUUGGCUCAUUCACAUACUUGAGAAUACUUGUUUAGCUUACUAGAUAAUGAAGUCCGGUCGUCUCCUUUUGGAGAAGAGGCGUCAUUUAUUUUGGACCCCUUGUGCGGCCCAUUGUGUUGAUCUGAUAUCAGAAGAUAUAGGUUGGCUAUUUUUAAAUGUGAUUGCAAUGGCUAGAAGAAUCACGGUUUUUAUGUACAAACACGCCCUUUUUUCAAUCGAAUGAGAAAAUAUAUUAGGAGUAACUUGCUACGUUCAUAACUCACCCGUUUCGCUACAAUCUUUUUAAUACUGCAAAAAUUACAUGCAAAAAAAUUAGAACUUAGAAGCUUCGUAGUGUCGGCCGAUUUUACAAGUGAGCCUUGGUUAAAGAAGGCUGAAGGGAAACAGGUUCAACAAACAAUCCUUUUCGCAAGGUUUUUGGACACAAGUGGUAAAUGCGCUAAAAGCAUCCGAGCCCUUAGUCACUGUGUUGUGAUUGGUGGACGGAGAUGAGAAGUCUGUAAUAGGUUACAUGCGAUGGAGAGGGUGAAAAAUAAGAUCAUGAAUCAUUUUAACUAUAAAGAGCGUAAUUACAAGCCAAUUAUAGAUAUUAUAUAUAGAAGAUGGGGCAACCAAAUGUCAUUUCCAUUGUAUUCAGCUGCAUAGAUCCUUAACCCAACUUGUUUAUUUGCUUCUCCUGAUCCAGCAGAAGCACUUACUAUGCAUAUGGUUGGAUUUAUUGAUGUGUUGGAAAGAAUGAUUCCAGAUAGAGAAAAACAAAACAAGAUCUCUGCUUUAAUAGACUUUUAUAUAAAGAGUGAGGGUAUAUUAUCAAGGGAUAUCAUCAUUAGGCUUCGGAACUGACUGGUGGGCUGCCUAUGGAGUGGACCCGAACAGGAAGGAUUUAGCUCUAAAGAAGCUGGCUAUGAGGAUUCUUGGACUCAUGUUUCUGCCAGCGGUUACGAGCGUAACUGUAGCAUGUUCGAGGCGGUAAGUUUAGUAAUUGUAAACUUCAAUUUAUAAGUGUAAGCUAAAUUAAUUAAUUAAAUAGCUAAUGCCAAAUGCACUUUCUUUCAUGCAGAUUCACACCAAGAAAAUAAAUCGCCUUGAGCAAAAGAAGCUCAACGACUUAGUCUUCGUCCAAUUCAAUAAAAAAUUGCGAGAAUGAUUACAGACUAGGAAAGAAAAGCCUAGUUUCUUUGACCUUAUCUGCUUAGAUGAGCUGGAUGCAGAUAACGAGUGGCUCGUAGAGACAGAGGACCCGGUAUUUGCUGGAGAGGACCUGACAUGGGCACAAGUUGAUGCCAUAUACGGAUUGACACCUGGAGAAUGUACCACUCGAAGGCGAAGGAUAGAGGGGAGCCGGGGGGCUAGUAGUAGCAGUCAAAUCGUUGAAUAGAUUGAGGAGAUAGAAGGAGGAGAUGAUAAUGAGUAAGCUAAAGAUCCACCAAUGGAUGUUGAUAAAGUAUUAGUACAUACAGAUGAUGAAGAAACAGAAGAAGAAGUGUAUGUGGAAGAAGGAGAUGACUCAAAUGAUGAUGGUGAUGAUAACGAUGGUGGUAGUGAUCAAAUGCUACAAUGGCAAAUAGAUCAAUGUAUAAAGUAUCAUGGCCAUUUACCAUUUACUAUUAUUUUGUUAUAAAUUAUAAUAGAUCAAUAAUAAAUAAAUAGCUUAUUCAUUUUGUUUACUAAGUGUGUUGAUGUUGAUUGUUGGCUGUACUGUUGAUUGAUAUUUGUUGAUUACUUUAUCAAAUGUUGAUGACUUAAUAUUUAAUUCAUUAUUUAAUUGGCUUUAUUUUACUCAAAUGUAUUGUAAGGGCAUAUAAAAUUAUUUAUCUAUUAACUAGCUCCCCCUACUUUCUUAUAUUAUUUUUUUCAUUAUUUUUUUCUUAUUUUACCCAUACUUUUCUGAUUUUUUUAUAAAGAUUUUUGAAAAAAAAAUUAAAAUAUAUAUACAUAUGCGACUGCAUAUGCGAUUGUGUGAUAGCAUAUGCGCACAAACAUAUGUGAUCGCACACGAUCGCAUAUGCGAUAUGACAACAUUGCUAAUAUCCUCACUUCCUUAUUGGCCAUACAUUUUCUUAGCUAGAUAUGGCCUAUGGAAGAGUUUACUUGAUUUUCUAAGUCUAAAUACAGUUUUUAUAAGAGAAUUAAUUAAAUCUCGAAACUUGUAAAUAGUUUAAUGAAAUAAUUUUCUAACUUAUUCUAAAUCUAAUCAAUAAAAUAGAAAUUAAGUACUAAACCAUAUGAUUAUGAAGCUCCAAAACCUACCCAAAAUAAGAAAAUAUAAACAUACAAUCACUAAUUUGAAAAAAAAAAAGGACUCAAUCCAUAAUGACAAUAUGACAUUCAAGCACAUCAUGUGAUCUUAUAUAAUACCACAUUCUUAUUCAAUCAUCAAACAAGAAAAAAAGAAAUAUCUACUUUUCGUAAUUUUUAAAAAUAGGCCCAAUUUUUUUUUUUAAAAAAAAACGAAA